AGAGUUUGAUCCUGGCUCAGGACGAACGCUGGCGGCGUGCUUAACACAUGCAAGUGGAGCGACGAACCAGGGCUUGCCCUGGGGCAAAGCCGCGAACGGGUGAGUAACACGUGGGUAACCCACCCCGAUGAUCGGGACAACCCGGGGAAACUCGGGCUAAUACCGAAUGUGCUUCAGGUUCAUGAGGACCUGACGUAAAGAUAGCUUCGGCCUUCGCAUCGGGACGGGCCCGCGGCCCAUUAGCUUGUUGGUGAGGUAACGGCUUACCAAGGCUACGAUGGGUAGCUGGUCUGAGAGGACGAUCAGCCACACUGGGACUGAGACACGGCCCAGACUCCUACGGGAGGCAGCAGUGGGGAAUCUUGCACAAUGCGCGAAAGCGUGAUGCAGCAACGCCGCGUGGGGGAAGAAGGCCUUCGGGUUGUAAACCCCUUUCAGUUGGGACGAAGCUUCGCCGGUGAAUAGCCGGCUGGAGUGACGGUACCUUCACAAGAAGCCCCGGCUAACUACGUG
rnacentral:rRNA from 1 species